UCUUUGGAGAUGUGGGUGUUUGAACCAAUCCCAGACGAGCACCAAUAAAAGACCCCUGAAGGGAGACCCUCACUCAAGUCUCAGGAUAAUAGCGGGCCCCCAAGAACUCACGAGAGACC
rnacentral:pre_miRNA from 7 species